rfam:Erinaceus europaeus unplaced genomic scaffold scaffold00776, whole genome shotgun sequence
CAAAAGGCUCUUUUCAGGGCCACCAUCUUCUCAGAAAAAGGGCUGU